AAAAACCCCUAACCACAAACUCUUAUCCAUGCCACCACAACAACAUGCUGAAUGGAACGCUGCAGUGGGGCCAAACAUAUUCAGCAAGCAAAUGGAAUGGCGGCUCAACCUGCAGCUCUGCCAGAACAGCCUCCAUCUCUCUCUCCAUCAAGGACCAUCUGCAUGCCACACAUCGUUUACCCUUCCGCAUUUAAGCCAUCGUAUUGCUCCUCACCUGGGAAGGAACCUGAUUCUUUGCCUUUCAUAUAAAAGCAUGCCUUGUGUCACAACAUGUCAGCUCCAAAAUGGAUCAGUUACCUGCUAGCCCUUCUCUCUUUUCCCUUUGAAUUUUGGCUGACUUUGGCAAUAGUUUUUUGAGAGGAAUGCCAAUCACCUCUGAAAGAACUGCCGAUUUGGUGGCUGUAUAAGGGCUGCUAGGAAAAUACACCAUUUUUUAAAAAUUGCCUCCAUACCAUAUUGUGAUUUCCAGAGGAAGCUGGAGAGGAAGAUUCUGUAUGCUCUGGGUGAGUUUUUUGAAGCUACACCUCUGGGGAAUGAGGACAGAAAAUACAUGAAUGAGAUUCACAGGUGAAAAGAUAACGGAUAAUCAGUGGAGGUAAAGUCACUGAAAACAGCAAGAGUGUUCCCUCCUCAUGUGAUGCUCAGGAAGGACUGCAGAUCUUCAUGAUACAGCCCAAUCCAGCAAGCUUGAGCCACCUCUUGGGAAAAUUUCAUCACAAAAUCAUGCUUUAAUGAGCCAGAUCAUUUUCAAAGUUGACUUUUCAUUAGGUAUUUUUCUUAUGUCACUAAGAAAAAGUAGAGUGCCAUGGAAAAGCUCCAUUAGAGCCAUCAUGACACUAUCUUGUUUUUAUCUGCAUUACAAUAACAGAUAAAUCUGAGGGAGAACUGGAAAAAUGCAUGUGGAUCAGAAAAAAGAAACAUGCAUGUGCAGGCAAGCAAGGUCUUAUAAAAAAAAAUUGAUAUUGACGUCUUGAUCUAGUGAAAGCAGAGGUCAUGUGUCCCUAGUCUAGAUCAAGACUGGAAUGAGACAUGUCAACCGAUGAACUGAGGGUGUAGGCUCAAAAUCCAGAUUACACGUGAAAGAUGAGAUACCUGAGGCACUAAUGGAGAGCUCCAAAGCCAUGUGAAUCACAGCUUCCUGCAAUUCUUGCACCUCAGGGUGCUGGAUGAGGUCAUGUUGUGAUGCUGUCACAUGAACAAGUUGGAUGAUUGCAUUUAAUCAUCAGAGUUGUAGGAUGGGUUAUACCAUGCAAUAUGCUGUCUUCUGUAGAGCAGACAGGGACACAGUUUUACCCUAAUGUGGAGAAGAUUAGAUUUUAUCUGACUUCCCGCAUGUUAAAGGCUAUGCAAGUUCACCCAAGUGCUUGCAAAGCUGUAUACAACAAUUUGAACUAGGCUGUAGCUUUUUGCAAAAUUCACAGGUAGACAAAAAUGACAGGCAGAGGAUAGAAGCAAUCGAAGGACCAUCAUCACCUGAGAUCCAUGGAGCAGCAGGAAGCUGGAGAGAUAAGAAUGAAGGCCAGAGAGAUUUCAGCAAGUGACUCAUGGCUUUAAGAAAAGAUGGAAGAACCCUAAAUCCCAGCCAAAUUGACCUGGGAGAAGUUCUUACUCAGGCCUGAAUCACAUAUGCAGCUUCAUCCUUUGAAUGUAAGCAAAAUAAGUAGGGCUGUGAUCAGAGACCUGCAGGGAAUUGCAGCUGGGGAGCAUGAGAGGCUGCUGCCCCAUGGCCAAGGCACCGUCUCCAACCAAACGCCUGAUACUAACCCUGUCCAUUUAAGCCUGUAACUGACCGAAAAUGAGCCACCUACGAAUGUCUUUAGGGACACAGGCUUCAUGAUUUGGCUGAGGCGUUGCCUACACUGUGUUUUUCCACAAUAAAACUUGUGUGACUGCAAACAGGAGUUGGACUCAACGAUUUUUAUGGGUCCCUUCCAACUGGGGAUAUUCUAUGAUCCUAUGGUUCUGGGAAAUCUCUUGUGUAAAUUUAGCUGGGAGAAGAAAACAACAAUGCUGCGGCACUUCUGUACCAAGGAUUUGCAGCAGAGAUGCUACAUGGCUAUAAGAAGAGCCAGAAAAGGCAAAGUUUAAGCCCAUACAAUGAACUAUCACACCGUAGUCCCAUCCAGCCCCUGCCCCAGAUGCCGGUUGCCACCUCUGUCCCACAGUUGUCACCUCCUCAGCGGUGCCAAAACAGCUGUGUGCAGGACAGCUCAAACCAGAGCGCUGAAGUAGUGGAAGUUAAAAAUAAACCUCCUGCAGGAGGAAGAGAGAGGGAGAUAUUUUUAAAUGUAACCACUUCAGUGGUCUUUCUCCCGGUGUGGUCCCACGUGGAAUUCCAUUAACAUGACGGGAAGGCAGUGAUUGCAGGGCUGGCACCAGCACGGCUCCUCUGGGCAGGAGGGACCCUCCAGGCUGCCAGAGAGGGCUGCUUGACAGCAGGGCACCAAAGCCAACGUGCUGUGGAAGGACUUCCAACAUCCAGACCCUACACAGGUUAAAGGCAGGACCCAGGUCUCCCAGACUCAACAUUUGCUCCUCAAUUCUCAUAGCCUUAGUUUUAAAAUGUAUUGUAGGCCAGCCAGAAUUAUUAUUAAUAGAAACAAAUAAAGAGGCACUGAGGUUUUCCCCGUUUUAUAAAUGAAUAUUCAUUAUAACCAUUAACCUCCUCCACAGUUUGUGGUAGCGUGGCUAGACAUCACCCACUGAAAUCUAUUCAAACACAAAAUGCACGAUAAACAGAGUAAGAAACAUCAGAAGACAUGCAAAUUGAGGGGGAAAAAAAGCUUCAUUUAAUGAAAUUUUUUACAUAAUCAACAAAGAAAAUAUUUGUACAUUCCUUAAAUAGCUUGAAAAGUUCAAGGAAAAGCAUCCAACAAUACUUCAGAAGGUUGCAGUGCAGAUAUGACUUGGCAAUUUGAAGAAUAAUUCAGCAACUUGCUUUUGUUUUGGUCCAGGUCAUUUCUGGGCUUCGAUGGGCACAGCCCAACUUCCACAGUAUAGUUCAGGCACCGCAGCGUAUUUGCUCUGUUUAAACAAGGAAUGCAUCUGUUCGCAUACAGGCGUCCCCUUUGGAUUGCUCCAGAGAAGCUCUGCACCAGCAGAAGUGCCAGAGAAGCAAGUAACAUUUAGGCAGCUUUCAGACUGCCAUUCAGGGUUGCAAACCAGUCAUUAAUUCUUCAAAUGGUUGGGUUGGUUUGUUUGUUUGUUUUGGUCUUGAAUUCUUCAUCAAAGUUUUCCAAUGAUAUUACUGAUGGAGUUUCAAGGCAACCCUCAGCAAAA